UACGUAGGGAGCAAGCGUUGUCCGGAAUCAUUGGGCGUAAAGCGCGCGUAGGCGGCCUCAUAAGUCCGUUGUGAAAGUCAAAGGCUCAACCUUUGAAUGCCGAUGGAUACUGUGAGGCUAGAGUCCGGAAGAGGCGAGUGGAAUUCCUGGUGUAGCGGUGGAAUGCGUAGAUAUCGUGGAGAACACCCGUGGCGAAGGCGGGCUUCUGGCUAAUUACUGACGCUGAGGUGCGAAAGCUAGGGGAGCGAACGGG
rnacentral:rRNA from 1 species